rnacentral:rRNA from 1 species
GUGAAAGCGGAGCUUGCUCUGCUGGAUCAGUGGCGAACGGGUGAGUAACACGUGAGCAAUCUGCCCCUGACUCUGGGAUAAGCGCUGGAAACGGCGUCUAAUACCGGAUACGAGCUGCGAAGGCAUCUUCAGCAGCUGGAAAGAAUUUCGGUCAGGGAUGAGCUCGCGGCCUAUCAGCUUGUUGGUGAGGUAACGGCUCACCAAGGCGUCGACGGGUAGCCGGCCUGAGAGGGUGACCGGCCACACUGGGACUGAGACACGGCCCAGACUCCUACGGGAGGCAGCAGUGGGGAAUAUUGCACAAUGGGCGAAAGCCUGAUGCAGCAACGCCGCGUGAGGGACGACGGCCUUCGGGUUGUAAACCUCUUUUAGCAGGGAAGAAGCGAAAGUGACGGUACCUGCAGAAAAAGCGCCGGCUAACUACGUGCCAGCAGCCGCGGUAAUACGUAGGGCGCAAGCGUUAUCCGGAAUUAUUGGGCGUAAAGAGCUCGUAGGCGGUUUGUCGCGUCUGCUGUGAAAACCCGAGGCUCAACCUCGGGCCUGCAGUGGGUACGGGCAGACUAGAGUGCGGUAGGGGAGAUUGGAAUUCCUGGUGUAGCGGUGGAAUGCGCAGAUAUCAGGAGGAACACCGAUGGCGAAGGCAGAUCUCUGGGCCGUAACUGACGCUGAGGAGCGAAAGGGUGGGGAGCAAACAGGCUUAGAUACCCUGGUAGUCCACCCCGUAAACGUUGGGAACUAGUUGUGGGGACCAUUCCACGGUUUCCGUGACGCAGCUAACGCAUUAAGUUCCCCGCCUGGGGAGUACGGCCGCAAGGCUAAAACUCAAAGGAAUUGACGGG